UUAUGGCCAUACCACGUUGAGACACCAAUUCCUGUAGGAUCACUGAAGUUAAGCAACGUCGUGCCUGGUCGGUACCUAGAUGAAUGACCGCUUAGGAAUAACAAGAGCUGUAAG